rnacentral:rRNA from 1 species
GACGAACGCUGGCGGCGUGCUUAACACAUGCAAGUCGAGCGGUAAGGCCCUUUCGGGGGUACACGAGCGGCGAACGGGUGAGUAACACGUGGGUGACCUGCCCUCAGCUCUGGGAUAAGCCUGGGAAACCGGGUCUAAUACUGGAUAUGACUCCAUGACGCAUGUUGUGGGGUGGAAAGCCUUGUGCGGCUGAGGAUGGGCCCGCGGCCUAUCAGCUUGUUGGUGGGGUGANGGCCUACCAAGGCGACGACGGGUAGCCGGCCUGAGAGGGCGACCGGCCACACUGGGACUGAGACACGGCCCAGACUCCUACGGGAGGCAGCAGUGGGGAAUCUUGCGCAAUGGGCGAAAGCCUGACGCAGCGACGCCGCGUGAGGGAUGACGGGCCU